ACACCACCUUGCAUUCCUCGCGCCGAGGCCCAGGAAAACCGGGCAGCACAAUGCUCUGGAGCCCUGGCCCCUCCCGGGGUCUGAUAAAUGAUUGCCAGAAGAGGGGGGGCCGAGAAACAGCCAGGGACUGUUCCAAAUGAAGCAAGGGUUGUUCACAAGUGACCAAAGGGCAGAAACCAUUUUGUUGGAGAGAAAAGCUUUGUUAGCAAACAGCCACUCUUGGCAAAAAUUCAAGAGGACAUCAUUUCAAUAGAAGCCAUGCCAAUUAAGAGGGAAAUGUUACAACCAGAAAACAAGCAAGCUGGGGGAGUCCACUUCCUCCUUGCUCUCUCUCUUCAACGGAGCUACGGAUUGCCUACUGCUUGUGCACUUGUAGGGCAGGAAUUGCAGGACCCUUCCACGGCCCUGGGCCCCAGGUUCCCAGGUAUCACACAUCCCUCAGCACCUUGGGACUCAUUGGCAAAUUGCCCUCCAAAGCCUUUCUAGAAGAAUUCAGCUGAAAUAAAACCCAAGAAUGCAUUUUU